rnacentral:tRNA from 1 species
GGGGGGGUAGCCCAGCUGGUUAGAGCGCUACGUUGACAUCGUAGAGGUCAGCGGUUCGAGCCCGCUCCUCCCCACCA